GACGAACGCUGGCGGCGUGCUUAACACAUGCAAGUCGAACGGAAAGGCCCUGCUUUUGUGGGGUGCUCGAGUGGCGAACGGGUGAGUAAAACGUGAGUAACCUGCCCUUGACUUUGGGAUAACUUCAGGAAACUGGGGCUAAUACCGGAUAGGAGCCCCUGCUGCAUGGUGGGGGUUGGAAAGUUUCGGCGGUUGGGGAUGGACUCGCGGCUUAUCAGCUUGUUGGUGGGGUAGCGGCUUACCAAGGCUUUGACGGGUAGCCGGCCUGAGAGGGUGACCGGCCACAUUGGGACUGAGAUACGGCCGAGACUCCUACGGGAGGCAGCAGUGGGGAAUAUUGCACAAUGGGCGGAAGCCUGAUGCAGCAACGCCGCGUGCGGGAUAACGGCCUUCGGGUUAUAAACCGCUUUCGCCUGUGACGAAGCGUGAGUGACGGUAAUGGGUAAAGAAGCACCGGCUAACUACGUG
rnacentral:rRNA from 1 species